CAGUCGCCGCGGUAAUACGAAGGGGGCUAGCGUUGUUCGGAAUUACUGGGCGUAAAGCGCACGUAGGCGGCUUAGUAAGUUAGAGGUGAAAGCCUGGAGCUCAACUCCAGAAUUGCCUUUAAGACUGCCGAGCUAGCAGGUGAGAGAGGUAAGUGGAAUUCCGAGUGCAGAGGUGAAAUUCGUAGAUAUUCGGAAGAACACCAGUGGCGAAGGCGGCUUACUGGCUCAUACUGGACGCUGAGGUGCGAAAGCGUGGGGAGCAAACAGGAUUAGAUACCCCCGUAGUCCCUGUCUCUUAUAC
rnacentral:rRNA from 1 species